GUUCAUUUAGCACAACAGUUGAGUUGAGAUAUAUUUAAGCUGUCAAUACAUGCAUUUUGGAAUUCUCUUUUCUUUCACUGACUCCUUGAGAAAAAGUUUAUUUUUGUUUUUUCAAUCACUAGAGCCUUUAUUUUUUUUUAUUUUUUAUUUUUUUUAGGAUGAGUGGACUGCAUAAACUUGUUCUUCCAUGUAACAGAGCUGCUAUCUUCUCACUGAGAUUGGUUAAACUUCACAAGCAGUGCCUACACAUUCCACCCUUACAUAAUCAAGUUUGACACAUCAUACGAUCCUAAUGGCCCUCAGGCACAAGCUGUACAUGUUGUCAACUUCAAGUGUUUGGAUACUCUCAGUCUUUCUGUCCUCCAUUUUGGUAUUCUUUUUCAACUUUUGUAAGAUCAGAAACCAGGAAGCAGCUCAAGGAAAUGACUUAAAAUCACAGAGAAAUUCUUGUACGUGUGCACUGCAUCACAAGAAUAAGAAGCUUGGCAGUUCGUGGUAGAAAAACAAGCAAGCAAACAAAAAAAGAAAUGUUUUAAAAUUCCAAACUGAAUACCUGUGAUAUACAUUUACAAUAAAAAG
rnacentral:lncRNA from 1 species